rnacentral:hammerhead_ribozyme from 1 species
GCACUGCUGAGGAGUCCCGCGAUGGGGCGAAACGGCCGUCCAGUGC